rnacentral:rRNA from 1 species
GACGAACCGUCCGAACGUUAUUCGGUAUCACUGGGCUUAAAGAGUCCGUAGGCGGCCAUGUAGGUCAGAUGUGAAAUCCCACAGCUCAACUGUGGAACUGCGUUUGAAACCACAUGGCUUGAGGAAGAUAGAGGUGAGCGGAACAGAUGGUGGAGCGGUGAAAUGCGUUGAUAUCAUCUGGAACACCGGUGGCGAAAAGCGGCUCACUGGAUCUUUUUCUGACGCUGAGGGGACGAAAAGCUAGGGGUAGCGAACGGGGAUUAGAUACCCCCCGUAGUCC